rnacentral:rRNA from 1 species
CCUACGGGACGCACCAGUGAGGAAUCUUCCACGAUGGGCGAAAGCCUGAUGGAGCAACGCCGCGUGAAGGAUGAAGGCCCUAGGGUCGUAAACUUCUUUUAUGAGUGAAGAAUAUGACGGUAACUCAUGAAUAAGCACCGGCUAACUACGUGCCAGCAGCCGCGGUCAUACGUAGGGUGCAAGCAUUAUCCGGAGUGACUGGGCGUAAAGAGUUGCGUAGGCGGUUAGUAAAGCGAAUAGUGAAACCUGGUGGCUCAACCAUUCAGACUAUUAUUCGAACUCACUAACUCGAGAAUGGUAGAGGUAAUUGGAAUUUCUUGUGUAGGAGUGAAAUCCGUAGAUAUAAGAAGGAACACCAAUGGCGUAGGCAGAUUACUGGACCAUUUCUGACGCUAAGGCACGAAAGCGUGGGGAGCGAACCGGAUUAGAUACCCGUGUAGUC